rnacentral:tRNA from 1 species
GGUGUAAUGGCUGAAUUAGGCGAUAAAUUGUAAAUUUAUUUAUGAAGGUUACUUCUUACACCA